rnacentral:misc_RNA from 1 species
UCUCCGUAGGUGAACCUGCGGAGGGAUCAUUACUGAGUGAGGGCCUUCGGGCUCGACCUCCAACCCUUUGUGAACACAUCUUGUUGCUUCGGGGGCGACCCUGCCGGCACUCUGUCGCCGGGCGCCCCCGAAGGUCUCCAAACACUGCAUCUUUGCGUCGGAGUUUAAAGCAAAUUAAACAAAACUUUCAACAACGGAUCUCGGGGGUCUGGCAUCGAUGAAGAACGCAGC